rnacentral:rRNA from 1 species
GAUGAACGCUGGCGGCGUGCCUAAUACAUGCAAGUCGAGCGAACAGACGAGGAGCUUGCUCCUCUGACGUUAGCGGCGGACGGGUGAGUAACACGUGGAUAACCUACCUAUAAGACUGGGAUAACUUCGUGAAACCGGAGCUAAUACCGGAUAAUAUAUUGAACCGCAUGGUUCAAUAGUUACAGACGGUUUUGCUGUCACUUAUAGAUGGAUCCGCUCCGGAUUAGCUAGUUGGUAAGGUAACGGCUUACCAAGGCAACGAUGCGUAGCCGACCUGAGAGGAUGAUCAGCCACACUGGAACUGAGACACGGUCCAGACUCCUACGGGAGGCAGCAGUAGGGAAUCUUGCGCAAUGGGCGAAAGCCUGACGGAGCAACGCCGCGUGAAUGAUGAAGGUCUUCGGAUCGUAAAACUCUGUUAUUGGGGAAGAACAAAUGUGUAAGUAACUAUGCACGUCUUGACGGUACCUAAUCAGAAAGCCACGGCUAACUACGUG